AAAUGCUUCAGGGCGUGUGGUUGAACAGACUCCAACUACCAAGAUGGAGAAGCUGAAGUGGAUCACACUGGUCAGCAAAUGUGACCAGAAGGAAUCUGACACAACCAACCCUUCCUUUGCAAUCAACGUGGGAUCCAAAACAAACCUUCGGCGCUCUCGGCAUCGCUGCCCAGGGAACCAGGCAUCCUGCAAAUAAACACUGAAUUGCAAAUCUGCGAGGGAGCUGAAUACAGCAUCACAGCCAUACUUCUUUCUGGUGGAUUGGCUCAGAAGAGAAGUUCUGUACAUGGGCUUUGGUAACAUCCAGCCAAGAGCUGAGUUUCGAGGGCCAGGAACUGCAGAUGGGCACACAGAUAGGUCAAACCUUGUUUUUUUUUUUCCCCCAGAAGAAACAUUUGGUGUCCAGUCUGCAAACACAGGUGACCUUAAGAGCAACUCCGGCCAUUAAUGCCCUUCUUGUUUUACCUUUUGUAAAAAGUUACAAGGAUUUUUAUCUAGGGUAAAACAUAUAGAUAGAUAGAUAGAUAGAUUUGCAGCUGGGAGCUGCUUUAUGCAGGCACAGCCUCUCUCUUGGCCACGGCCUUUUGGGCCAGGCAUGGUACAGUCUGUGGGUUGUAAACGUCAUUGAGCGAGUCAGCAGCUUUCCCCAUGAAACCAUCUCAAAGCCUUCCCCUGUUGCUGCACAUUUAAUUUCCCCAUUCAGGGGCCAGUGAGAGUAAAGGCAACCUGUGUAUGGAAACUUUUAAUUAAACUACAAAUAUAGAGU
rnacentral:lncRNA from 7 species